rnacentral:rRNA from 1 species
UACGUAGGGGGCUAGCGUUGUCCGGAAUCAUUGGGCGUAAAGCGCGUGUAGGCGGCCCGAUAAGUCCGCUGUGAAAGUCCAGGGCUCAACCCUGCGAUGCCGGUGGAUACUGUCGGGCUCGAGUCCGGAAGAGGCGAGUGGAAUUCCUGGUGUAGCGGUGAAAUGCGCAGAUAUCAGGAGGAACACCAAUGGCGAAGGCAGCUCGCUGGGACGUGACUGACGCUGAGACGCGAAAGCGUGGGGAGCAAACAGG